rnacentral:rRNA from 1 species
UACGGGGGGGGCAAGCGUUGUUCGGAAUUACUGGGCGUAAAGGGCUCGUAGGCGGCCAACUAAGUCAGACGUGAAAUCCCUCGGCUUAACCGGGGAACUGCGUCUGAUACUGGAUGGCUUGAGGUUGGGAGAGGGAUGCGGAAUUCCAGGUGUAGCGGUGAAAUGCGUAGAUAUCUGGAGGAACACCGGUGGCGAAAGCGGCGCGCUGGAUCCCUUCUGACGCUGAGGCACGAAAGCCAGGGGAGCAAACGGG